rnacentral:rRNA from 1 species
AGGCUGAAACUCGCCUACAUGAAGCUGGAGUUGCUAGUAAUCGCGAAUCAGCAUGUCGCGGUGAAUACGUUCCCGGGCCUUGUACACACCGCCCGUCACACCAUGAGAGUUGGCAAUGCCCAACGUACGUGAUCUAACCCGCAAGGGAGGAAGCGUCCUAAGGUAGGGUCAGCGAUUGGGGUGAAGUCGUAACAAGGUAGC